CUUGAUUUGAAGUCUGGACCAUAAAAUUGGAUGCAUGAUAGCCAAGUGGGCCAUUUUUGGUAAGCAGAACUGGCGCUGUGGGAUGAACCGAACGUUGAGUUACGGCGCCUGAUUAUAGACGCUCAUCAGAUACCACAAAAGGUGUUGGUUGCUAUAGACAGCAGGACGGUGGCCAUGGAAGUCGGAAUCCGCUAAGGAGUGUGUAACAACUCACCUGCCGAAGCAACUAGCCCUGAAAAUGGAUGGCGCUAGAGCGUUUAGCCUAUACUCAACCGUUGUGGCACACGCUGCGUGCAAGAAAUUGCCGUAUUUGGUGCUUUUAUGGCACAUGCGUGCUAGUCAUGCCUCAACGAGUAGGAGGGUCGCGGCGAUAUGCUUUGAAGGCUUAGCGGCGUGAGCCGGGCUGGAGCUGUCGUCGGUGCAGAUCUUGGUGGUAGUAGCAAAUACUCAAGCGAGAACCUUGAGGACUGAAGUGGAGAAGGCUUCCAUGUGAACAGCAGUUGAACAUGGGUCAGUCGAUCCUAAAGCAUCGGCGAAGGCCGUUCAGAAGCGGUGUCGGUUAUGUGGCAGUAUGCUGUUUCGGCAGUAUGCUGUCCGGCUAUAGGCGCUUGCCGUUUAUAGUCGCCGCACCUGCUGAAAGGGAAUUGGAUUAAUAUUUCCAAACCUAACAGCGGAGAUUGGUUGCUCAUUAGGCUGCGCGGGCCUUGCGCUCGUGUCAGUCGGGGCAACGCGCUGCGGUAACGCAAACGAACUCGGAUACGCUGACUGGAGUCCCGGGAAGAGUUGUCUUUUCUUCAUAAAGAGUCGACUCCAUGGAAUUGGUUCAGCCAGAGAUAUGGAGAUGGCGUCUGAAAAGCAUCGCGCUUCUUGCGAUGUCCGGUGCGCUCCAAGCGGCCCUUGAAAAUCCGAGGGAGAGAAUGAUUUUCGUGUUAGAUCGUACCCAUAUCCGCAGCAGGUCUCCAAGGUUAAAAGC
rnacentral:rRNA from 1 species